rnacentral:rRNA from 1 species
UACGUAGGGUGCAAGCGUUAAUCGGAAUUACUGGGCGUAAAGCGUGCGCAGGCGGUUAUAUAAGACAGAUGUGAAAUCCCCGGGCUCAACCUGGGAACUGCAUUUGUGACUGUAUAGCUAGAGUACGGUAGAGGGGGAUGGAAUUCCGCGUGUAGCAGUGAAAUGCGUAGAUAUGCGGAGGAACACCGAUGGCGAAGGCAAUCCCCUGGACCUGUACUGAUGCUCAUGCACGAAAGCGUGGGGAGCAAACAGG